rnacentral:rRNA from 1 species
ACGAACGCUGGCGGCGUGCUUAACACAUGCAAGUCGAACGGAAAGGCCCCCUUGUGGGGUACUCGAGUGGCGAACGGGUGAGUAACACGUGAGUAACCUACCCUUGACUUUGGGAUAACUUCAGGAAACUGGGGCUAAUACCAGAUAGGAGCUCCUGCUGCAUGGUGGGGGUUGGAAAGUUUCGGCGGUUGGGGAUGGACUCGCGGCUUAUCAGCUUGUUGGUGGGGUAGUGGCUCACCAAGGCUUUGACGGGUAGCCGGCCUGGGAGGGUGACCGGCCACAUUGGGACUGAGAUACGGCCCAGACUCCUACGGGAGGCAGCAGUGGGGAAUAUUGCACAAUGGGCGGAAGCCUGAUGCAGCAACGCCGCGUGCGGGAUGACGGCCUUCGGGUUGUAAACCGCUUUCGCCUGUGACGAAGCGUGAGUGACGGUAAUGGGUAAAGAAGCACCGGCUAACUACGUG